UACGAAGGGGGCUAGCGUUGCUCGGAAUCACUGGGCGUAAAGCGCACGUAGGCGGAUUUUUAAGUCAGGGGUGAAAUCCUGGAGCUCAACUCCAGAACUGCCUUUGAUACUGAGGAGCUUGAGUCCGGGAGAGGUGAGUGGAACUGCGAGUGUAGAGGUGAAAUUCGUAGAUAUUCGCAAGAACACCAGUGGCGAAGGCGGCUCACUGGCCCGGUACUGACGCUGAGGUGCGAAAGCGUGGGGAGCAAACAGG
rnacentral:rRNA from 1 species